rnacentral:rRNA from 1 species
GACGAACGCUGGCGGCGUGCUUAACACAUGCAAGUCGAACGGAAAGGCCCUGCUUUUGUGGGGUGCUCGAGUGGCGAACGGGUGAGUAACACGUGAGUAACCUGCCCUUGACUUUGGGAUAACUUCAGGAAACUGGGGCUAAUACCGGAUAGGAGCUCCUGCUGCAUGGUGGGGGUUGGAAAGUUUCGGCGGUUGGGGAUGGACUCGCGGCUCAUCAGCUUGUUGGUGGGGUAGUGGCUUACCAAGGCUUUGACGGGUAGCCGGCCUGAGAGGGUGACCGGCCACAUUGGGACUGAGAUACGGCCCAGACUCCUACGGGAGGCAGCAGUAGGGAAUAUUGCACAAUGGGCGGAAGCCUGAUGCAGCAACGCCGCGUGCGGGAUGACGGCCUUCGGGUUGUAAACCGCUUUCGCCUGUGACGAAGCGUGAGUGACGGUAAUGGGUAAAGAAGCACCGGCUAACUACGUG